UUCAACUUUCAAGCUUCAUAGUAAGUGAUUCCAAGCCCCGUUUUUAAUGAUCUUUACGUUUUUGGAGUCCCGGUAACUUGAUUAAGCUUAUUCUAGUAAUAAUUCAGCCUAGGGUUCAUAUUUGGAAAAAUACCCAUGGCUGAAAUUUGUGUAUUUUGGUGUUUUAUGAUAGAAUAUGAGGUUUUAAAUUAUGUUAAACAACUUAUGCUACUCAGUUUUAAGUGAAAACGAGUAAAAUGGCUUAAAUUGGAAAAAAAUACCAAUAGUCAUAAGUAUAUGUUAGAGUGUGAUUUUGAUAUUGCCAUAGAAGGGAAAAAUGAUCAGCAUGUCAUAAAACAUAAGAAAAUAGGAUGAAGUUUAAUUUACGAGCCUUGAGGCAAAAGUGCAAAUAUGUGAAAGUUUAGGGGUAAAAAUAUAAUUUUGCAAAAGUUUGGGUCAAGGACUGUUUUAAUAAAUGUGAAUAUUAAAUAAGUUAAAUUUGCUAUUAUAGAUCAAGAAGAACGAAAUUCGGGAGUAGAUCGGGGAAAAGAAAAAGUAAAGGACUAAAUUGUAAAGUUUAGUCACAUUUUGUAUCAAGGUAAGUUACAGUAAAUAAAUGCAAUAUUCUUUUAUUUUACAUUAUUAUUGUCAAUUUCCAGCAUUUAUAUACUUAUGUUAUGAAAAUAUGUAAAGUCGAAUUUAAGGUGGAGUGACAGAGGAAAAGUGUUAGAAAGCCCCUGUUGAACCCUAAGAAUGUUAGGAUAUUAGAGUUGACAGGACAGAACAGAAAUGAGCCAUGUAAGUCCAUAUUAGAAAUAUGGCUUUGGAGAGAGGAUUGAGCCAUGUAAGUCCAUAAUAUAUAUGGCAUUGGAGACAGGAAUAAUUCAUGUAAGUCCAUGUCAAAGACAUGGCAUUGGCAGGAUAUUGAUAGACAGGAACGACCCUAGUAUCCUUAGUAUUUCGAGUGGUUCAACGGGUCAGGAUACGAGUUAAAUUACAGUGAAUUAACAGCAAAGGAAAAGUAGAUUAUACUUAUGAAAAAAGAAAGGUCAGGUAAGAAAGAAGGUAAGGGAAUAAAGAAGAAGAUACAAAUUGAGAAGUAAAGAAAUUUAUGAUGUUAGAUGAUAUUAUGCAUAAUUAUCCAUUAUGUUGAAUGUUGUGAUUUAUUUGCUUGUAAGCUUACUAAGCCUAGUGCUUAAUCUCUUUAUUUUCUUCUUCUUAUAGUACUUAUCUAGUCACUCGGGGAUCGAAGGAAACGUCGGAGGCCGAUCACACUAUCAAAGAAAUAACUCGGUAUAACUAGACGUUUUGUUUUGGGUAUGACAUGUAUAGAAACUUAGCUACUUUUGGUAUAAUAUGAACAAUGAAUGAUGUGUAAAUACUUGCUAGUGAUUAGCUAAUAAAAUAGCCGA
rnacentral:lncRNA from 1 species